UACGUAGGGGCCUAGCGUUGUCCGGAAUUAUUGGGCGUAAAGAGCUCGUAGGCGGUUCGGCAAGUCGGAUGUGAAAUCUCCACGCUUAACGUGGGGGGGCCAUUCGAAACUGCUGUGACUGGAGUCCGGUAGGGGAGUGUGGAAUUCCCGGUGUAGCGGUGAAAUGCGCAGAUAUCGGGAGGAACACCAACGGCGAAAGCACUCUGCUGGGCCGACACUGACACUGAGAGACGAAAGCUAGGGGAGCGAAUGGG
rnacentral:rRNA from 1 species